UAUUAGUGCAGGAAGUGUCGGAAGUGUCCUCAUUGGAUACGGAUAAUCGGUGAAUCAUUGGCCGCUGUAUCCGAGGCUGUGCCAUGUAAAGAUGAUAUCGGAACCUGUUCAGCAAUGAGAAAGCCACAACCCACUCCACUAUGAUGUCGCAUCAACUAUCAUCUGGUGACCGAAUCAGCCGAUCAGGUCAAAGAAGAAUUCUCUGAUAUGGAUCAAGGAUCCGUUCACCCAGCACCCUCUCUCGAAAGAGCAAAUGCGGUACUGAUACCGACUGCUGCAAGACGUUCUGAAAGACAGUAAGCUGGGCCUCGAAGGUGAUGAUCGAACUACUGCGAAUAUACACGGAAGAGAUUGCAUCAUAUGAGCGCAAAGAUGCCAUGAAGUGUCCUUCCCAAGCUAUUCUGGUCGCUGCAGAUUGUGUGCGGUUCAUGACAUGAAAUUCGCCAUAUCACCGGGUGAGUCAUGUUAAAAUUUGUAUUAAAUCUUGAUAUCGUUGAAAUCAUACUUUUGUUCAUAUUAGCAUGGACUGAUUCACGGACAUAACAUCAAAAGGAUGCUCCUAAAUAUCUAUCAUGUAGUUGGCGGAGAUUAAUCUGAAGAUGACGCAGGACCAGAAGACUCGCAGUGUGGAUGCACCAGAAGAAGUUCGGUCGCCCUCAGUGAAUAGUUGUGCUUAUUGCUGUUCUCGGGGAAAAGCAUCCUGAGACUAGUUUAGGAAAAUAUCAACGGUUUUGUGUGAUACUGGCAAAACACUUUUUUUAAAUUUUUGAUAUUUUCAUGGUAGAGUACAGAAAAUGGUAUUUAGUUUUAGCUGUUAAUAAUAAUUGCAUCUCACAAGAAAUGUGGUAUUUUUCUGUGGUAAUAAAAUUAAUUGUAGAACAUUAAAUUGUAUUGUAUUGCAACUGUAAUACUGAGGUGAAAUUAAUUGUAAAGCCUAUUGUACUUCUAUGGGAAAACAAUAAAAAAGUAGGGAAUAACAUUUAAAACACA